UACCUCGUCUUUCAUCUCCUUUGCCUCAUCUUUCAUCUCCUUUGCCACAUUUUCCAGCUGGAUGAUUUUGGCUUUCAGGACACUAUUUUCUUGUUUUAGUUCAAGUGCCUCUGUUUCCAGAUGACUUAUCUUAAUUUUUAAGUUCUUUUCCCAAUUGUCUUCAGCCUCUCUUAGUUGUGUUUUGAGUUCUUCCACAGCCUGUAUCCAAUUCGCUGGGAUUUCUGGUUUAUCAUUUGCUGAUCUCUCCCCCUCUGUUCCAUUUGCUGAGUAGUAGCUGUCUAUUGUAGUUUCUUUCUUCUGUUUCUGUUGUUUGUUCAAAUUCACCCCUUCUUUACUCCCCGUAUUUGUCUGUGCUCUUGUUCCUCUCAUUUUUUUGUUUUUUGGGGGACUUCUAUCAGUCUCCCCUCUUGGAGCUUUAACAGAAGAUCUCUUGGUGUAAUCUCUGGGGGAGGGUUGUUGGGGGUUUGAGCUUUCCUGUCCUCUGGAGGCUUUUGAUUGGCUUAAAGUCCAGCAGUCAAUGAGGAUGGGUGGGGAGCCUGGGCUUCCCUGUGUUCUGGAGACUUUUGAUGGGAUUGAGUUCAGCUUAGUUGGGCUGGGUUUACUCUGAGUUUUAAACUUCCUGGAUGGCUGGAGCAAAUAUGGAGGAUCUCCAAAGCUCUGGCCAGGCUGCCAGGUCUAUGCUCCUUCUAGGCUGCCAUCUUGACUUCGCCUCUAGGUUUCUGUUUUUUCAGAAGACCCUGCUCUCUAAGGGGGGAGGGGUCAUGGCUUGCCUGGGCUCUGAGGGCUCCUGAUGGGAUUAGGUUCACCUGGUUUGGGCUGAAUGAGCCCUGAAGCAAAAAAACCUCCUCCUCCACAAUCUGUGUUGAAUGCCUGGAGACUGGCCCGGGUUGUUUUCAAGGACCAAUGACAUCGUGGGUGAUGUCUUGACUUGUGCACGGAUUGGAUUUCAUCGAGGCAGAGUUGGGCAAAGUCGACAGCCUCCUUCUCUCUUCCAAAGCCAUCCAAAUCCAGUGGCAGGACAACAGUCAGGAUGCCCAGCGAUGGUCCAGGACACAGAGGAUGGACGACCUUGGCUUCUUCGAUGUCUGACCCAGCUCUAGGGGCUCCACAGUGCCUGCUUCACUCACCUUCAAGGCUCUUGGAACAAACUGUUGGCAUCUGCCCACUCCACUGGGAGAAGUCUUCACACGCCUGUGGUAAACCUCUCUAACUCGCUAUUAGGUUUGGCACCUUUUGGUUCCCUUCAGUCUGGUUUAGCCCCUUCGCCCAUUUGGCUUUCCUGGGGUGUGUCCACCAUACAUGGUAUAGCUUCUCGGAGCCACGGGUCAAAAUGGG
rnacentral:lncRNA from 1 species